UACGAGAGGCCCAAACGUUAUUCGGAAUUACUGGGCUUAAAGAGUUCGUAGGCGGCAUGAAAAGUAGGGUGUGAAAGCCCUCGGCUCAACCGAGGAAUUGCGCUCUAAACUGUCGGUGCUAGAGGAAGCUAGAGGUGAGCGGAACUGAUGGUGGAGCGGUGAAAUGCGUUGAUAUCAUCAGGAACACCGGAGGCGAAGGCGGCUCACUGGGGCUUUUCUGACGCUGAGGAAC
rnacentral:rRNA from 1 species